GAUUGAAGGCUGAAAUUCGCCUUCAUGAAGCUGGAAUUGCUAGUAAUGGCAGGUCAGCAUACUGCCGUGAAUACGUUCCCGGGCCUUGUACACACCGCCCGUCACACCAUGAGAGUUGGGAAUACCCGAAGCCUGUGAGCUAACUUAUAGAGGCAGCAGUCGAAGGUAGAAUCAAUGAUUGGGGUGAAGUCGUAACAAGGUAAC
rnacentral:rRNA from 1 species